rnacentral:ribozyme from 2 species
CGUGUAAUGUAGCCCGCUUUUUGGCGGCCGGUUCCAAGCCCGGGGAAAUACAGAGGAUACG